UACGUAGGGAGCAAGCGUUGUCCGGAAUCAUUGGGCGUAAAGCGCGCGUAGGCGGCCCUGUAAGUCCGUUGUGAAAGUCAAAGGCUCAACCUUUGAAAGCCGAUGGAUACUGCAGGGCUAGAGUCCGGAAGAGGCGAGUGGAAUUCCUGGUGUAGCGGUGGAAUGCGCAGAUAUCAGGAGGAACACCAAUAGCGAAGGCAGCACUCUGGUACGUGACUGACGCUGAGACGCGAAAGCGUGGGGAGCAAACAGG
rnacentral:rRNA from 1 species